rnacentral:rRNA from 1 species
GACGAACGCUGGCGGCGUGCUUAACACAUGCAAGUCGAACGGAAAGGCCCUGCUUUUGUGGUGUGCUCGAGUGGCGAACGGGUGAGUAACACGUGAGUAACCUGCCCUUGACUUUGGUAUAACUUCAGGAAACUGUGUCUAAUACCGGAUAGGAGCUCCUGCUGCAUGGUGGGGGUUGGAAAGUUUCGGCGGUUGGGGAUGGACUCGCGGCUUAUCAGCUUGUUGGUGGGUUAGUGGCUUACCAAGGCUUUGACGGGUAGCCGGCCUGAGUGGGUGACCGGCAACAUUGGGACUGAGAUACGGCCAAGACUCCUUCGGGAGGAAGAAGUGGGGAAAAUGGCAAAAUGGGCGGAAGCCUGAGGAAGCAACGCCGCGUGCGGGAUGACGGCCUUCGGGUUGUAAACCGCUUUCGCAUGUGACGAAGCGUGAGUGACGGUAAUGGGUAAAGAAGCACCGGCUAACUACGUG